AACGAACGCUGGCGGCAGGCUUAACACAUGCAAGUCGAACGCCCCGCAAGGGGAGUGGCAGACGGGUGAGUAACGCGUGGGAAUCUACCUAGUUCUACGGAACAACUGAGGGAAACUUCAGCUAAUACCGUAUACGCCCUACGGGGGAAAGAUUUAUCGGAAUUAGAUGAGCCCGCGUUGGAUUAGCUAGUUGGUGAGGUAAUGGCUCACCAAGGCGACGAUCCAUAGCUGGUCUGAGAGGAUGAUCAGCCACACUGGGACUGAGACACGGCCGAGACUCCUACGGGAGGCAGCAGUGGGGAAUAUUGGACAAUGGGCGCAAGCCUGAUCCAGCCAUGCCGCGUGAGUGAUGAAGGCCUUAGGGUUGUAAAGCUCUUUCAGUGGGGAAGAUAAUGACGGUACCCACAGAAGAAGCCCCGGCUAACUUCGUGCCAGCAGCCGCAGUAACAC
rnacentral:rRNA from 1 species